GGAAAGGGCAGGCGAUUUGCAGAUGGCUUCACAGGUGAACACUGUGGAUCCAGGAUAAGGCAGGAAGCUGAGCACAUGGAUUUAGAAUCCUAGAAAAUUCAAACUGGAAAGGAUUUAAGGAUCUGAUGGUUUUUAUAAAUGGGAGUUUCCCUACACAAGCUCUCUUGCCUGCCGCCGUCUAAAACGGACUUUGCCCCUCCUCCACCUUCCACCGUGAUUGUGAGGCCUCCCCAGCCACGUGGAACUUUUAGAACCAAUUCUGAACACAAGAACCAGACAGACACAGAUCAAAACACCAGCUUAAUUGGCGAGACUAAUUGAAGAAUGUGGCACAGAUGUGUGGACUCCGGUGGCUUUCUAAAUUUUCAUCCUAGAAAUAAACUCACCUAGAUGAAAGUGCAAAAUGAUCUGCAAUAUUGAAGCACAGUGCAUCAUUCUGAAUUAACGCUAUUUAAGUCAACGGUGAAAAACACAAACAAUUGUAAACCCCUUUUGCCAUUGCAACAUUCUACAAGAGCUGCUGCUGCUGCUGCUGCUGCUGCUGCUGCUGCUGCUGAAUCGUGGUUCAACAGUAAAGUGAGAACUAUUCAAGGUCAGAAUUUGAGUAAGGCAGGGAGGGAAGGCUGGGAAGUAAGAAGAGAAUUACAUUUUUGAGGGCCCUUAUGUUUUUAACACUAUUCGAUUCUCAAAAUGCCCAAACUUAAAGCAUGUCUGUGGUUCCUUAAAAUGUAUAUGGUCUAUUAAAAACUGUGGCAAGUUUUCAGCAAA